rnacentral:rRNA from 1 species
UAGCAUAAUCMUUAGUUUUUUAAUUGAAAACUGGAAUGAAAGGUUUAAUAAAAAAUAAUCUUUAUUAUUUUAAAAUAUUGAAUUUAUUUUUUUAGUAAAAAAACUAAAAUUUUUGAAAAAGACGAUAAGACCCUAUAAAGCUUUAUAAUAUUUUUAAAAAUUAAUAUUUAGAAUAUUUAUUUUAUUUAUAAUUUAAUUAUUUAAUUGGGGUGAUUUUAAGAUUAAAUAAACUCUUACUYYYYAUUUAACAAGUUUUUUUGUAAUUUAUUAAAAUUAAAAAUUUAUUAAUUUUUAAAAGAACCAAAAAACUGAUUUUAGAUAAGUUACUUUAGGGAUAACAGCGUAAUUUUUUUAAAGAGUUCUAAUCGCUAAAAAAGAUAGCGACCUCGAUGUUGAAUUAAGAUAAAUUUUAGGUGUAGAAGUUU